GAUGAACGCUAGCUACAGGCUUAACACAUGCAAGUCGAGGGGCAGCAUGGUCUUAGCUUGCUAAGGCCGAUGGCGACCGGCGCACGGGUGAGUAACACGUAUCCAACCUGCCGUCUACUCUUGGACAGCCUUCUGAAAGGAAGAUUAAUACAAGAUGGCAUCAUGAGUCCGCAUGUUCACAUGAUUAAAGGUAUUCCGGUAGACGAUGGGGAUGCGUUCCAUUAGAUAGUAGGCGGGGUAACGGCCCACCUAGUCUUCGAUGGAUAGGGGUUCUGAGAGGAAGGCCCCCCCACAUUGGAACUGAGACACGGUCCAAACUCCUACGGGAGGCAGCAGUGAGGAAUAUUGGUCAAUGGACGAGAGUCUGAACCAGCCAAGUAGCGUGAAGGAUGACUGCCCUAUGGGUUGUAAACUUCUUUUAUACGGGAAUAAAGUGAGGCACGUGUGCCUUUUUGUAUGUACCGUAUGAAUAAGGAUCGGCUAAC
rnacentral:rRNA from 1 species